rfam:Macropus eugenii Contig461850, whole genome shotgun sequence.
GCCUCCCGACAGUUUUCCUGUGUUUUCUGGAGCUGCUGCUCAAGGCUUUCCCAGACCUGUGGAUUUACAGACAUACUGAGCUGCCUGGGGG